rnacentral:rRNA from 1 species
AGUUUGAUCCUGGCUCAGAACGAACGCUGGCGGCAUGCCUAACACAUGCAAGUCGAACGAAGUCUUCGGACUUAGUGGCGCACGGGUGCGUAACGCGUGGGAAUCUGCCCUUGGGUGCGGAAUAACUUCUCGAAAGGGAUGCUAAUACCGCAUAAUGUCGUAAGACCAAAGAUUUAUCGCCCAAGGAUGAGCCCGCGUAAGAUUAGCUAGUUGGUGGGGUAAAAGCCUACCAAGGCGACGAUCUUUAGCUGGUCUGAGAGGAUGAUCAGCCACACUGGGACUGAGACACGGCCCAGACUCCUACGGGAGGCAGCAGUGGGAAUAUUGGACAAUGGGCGCAAGCCUGAUCCAGCCAUGCCGCGUGAGUGAUGAAGGCCUUAGGGUUGUAAAGCUCUUUUGUCCGGGAAGAUAAUGACUGUACCGGAAGAAUAAGCCCCGGCUAACUUCGUG